GACGAACGCUGGCGGCGUGCUUAACACAUGCAAGUCGAACGGAGUGGCGAACGGGUGAGUAACACGUGGGUGAUCUGCCUUGCACUUCGGGAUAAGCUUGGGAAACUGGGUCUAAUACCGGAUAGUGCAAGAUGAGCUCGCGGCCUAUCCGCUUGUUGGUGGGGUAAUGGCCUACCAAGGGGUCGAGGGGUAGCCGGCCUGAGAGGGUGUACGGCCACAUUGGGACUGAGAGACGGACCAGACUCCAACGUGGGGCAGUGGGGGGGAAUAUUGCACAAUGGGCGGGAGCGUGAUGCGGCGACGCCGGGUGGGGGAUGAAGGCCUUCGGGGUGUAAACUCCUUUCGACAGGGACGCGGUACCUGUAUAAGAAGCACCGGCUAACUACGUGCCAGCAGCCGCGGUAAUUC
rnacentral:rRNA from 1 species